CCGCCAGACUCCUACGGGAGGCAGCAGUGGGGAAUAUUGCACAAUGGGGGAAACCCUGAUGCAGCAACGCCGCGUGAAGGAAGACGGUUUUCGGAUUGUAAACUUCUAUCAAUAGGGAAGAAAGAAAUGACGGUACCUAAAUAAGAAGCCCCGGCUAACUACGUGCCAGCAGCCGCGGUAAUACGUAGGGGGCAAGCGUUAUCCGGAAUUAUUGGGCGUAAAGAGUACGUAGGUGGCAACCUAAGCGCAGGGUUUAAGGCAAUGGCUCAACCAUUGUUCGCCCUGCGAACUGGGAUGCUUGAGUGCAGGAGAGGAAAGCGGAAUUCCUAGUGUAGCGGUGAAAUGCGUAGAUAUUAGGAGGAACACCAGUGGCGAAGGCGGCUUUCUGGACUGUAACUGACACUGAGGUACGAAAGCGUGGGGAGCAAACAGGAUUAGAUACCCUUGUA
rnacentral:rRNA from 1 species